rnacentral:rRNA from 1 species
CUACGGGUCGCUGCAGUGAGGAAUAUUGCACAAUGGGGGGAACCCUGAUGCAGCAACGCCGCGUGGAGGAUGACGCAUUUCGGUGUGUAAACUCCUUUUAUAUGUCAAGAAAAUGACGGUAGCAUAUGAAUAAGCACCCGCUAACUCCGUGCCAGCAGCCGCGGUAAUACGGAGGGUGCAAGCGUUACUCGGAAUCACUGGGCGUAAAGGACGCGUAGGCGGGUUGGAAAGUCAGGUGUGAAAUCCUACAGCUUAACUAUAGAACUGCACUUGAAACUUCUAAUCUAGAGUAUGGGAGGGGGAGAGGGAAUUAGUGGUGUAGGGGUAAAAUCCGUAGAUAUCACUAGGAAUACCUAAAGCGAAGGCGAUCUCCUGGAACAUUACUGACGCUAAGGCGUGAAAGCGUGGGGAGCAAACAGGAUUAGAUACCCGCGUAGUC